UGUUUGAGGUAGCUCAGUCCAUAGAGCACGGGACUCUGAAUCUCAGGGUUGUGGGUUUGAGAGCCACAUUGGGCAA